rnacentral:rRNA from 1 species
CGGGAACAGCUCAAAUUUAAAAUCUCCCUUCCGGGCGAAUUGUAGUUUAUAGAAGUGUCUUUCUGGGGCAGCUCGGGCAUAUGUCGUUUGGAAAAACGCAUCAAAGAGGGUGAGAAUCCCGUAUUUGGCCUGAAGUCUGUCUCUCUGUGAUGCACUUUCAAA